GUGCCUACGGGGGGCAGCAGUAGGGAAUCUUCCACAAUGGACGAAAGUCUGAUGGAGCAACGCCGCGUGAGUGAAGAAGGGUUUCGGCUCGUAAAGCUCUGUUGGUAGUGGAGAAAGAUAGAGGUAGUAACUGGCCUUUAUUUGACGGUAAUUACUUAGAAAGUCACGGCUAACUACGUGCCAGCAGCCGCGGUAAUACGUAGGUGGCAAGCGUUGUCCGGAUUUAUUGGGGGUAAAGCGCGUGUAGGCGGGGAAGGAAGUCAGGUGGGAAAACCACGGGCUCAACCCGUGUGC
rnacentral:rRNA from 1 species